rnacentral:rRNA from 1 species
UACAGAGGUCCCAAGCGUUGUUCGGAUUCAUUGGGCGUAAAGGGUGCGUAGGCGGUCGGGUAAGUCUGACGUGAAAUCUUCAAGCUCAACUUGGAAACUGCGUCGGAUACUAUUCGGCUAGAGGAAUGGAGGGGAGACUGGAAUACUUGGUGUAGCAGUGAAAUGCGUAGAUAUCAAGUGGAACACCAGUGGCGAAGGCGAGUCUCUGGACAUUUCCUGACGCUGAGGCACGAAAGCCAGGGGAGCAAACGGG